CAGCAGGUUUGGUCCCUUGCAGUACGUGCACAUCCUAACUUAUACCAGCAGCAUCUGUGAGAGUCACCUGUAUGUGGCAUUUGCUGGAGGAAGACCCAGGAGAGCCCCGAGAGCCUGGGGGAGAAGAAGGAGUCCUCAGAGGCCAGGCUGGGGGAGAAGAGGACAAAUGCCAGCAGGUCCCUGGGAGCCACCCUGUAUCAGAAGGAUGUUCUUUUGAAAGCUGCAGAAAAAAGGCACCAAGUCUCUUCAGGCCCAUGGGGCUGCAGGAUGGUCUCAGCAGGAUGUCUCCAACCUCAACCACUGGUACAAGGGAAGAAAGGGGUACCACCUAGUGGGGAACCAGGAUGACGAGAUGAUGCUCUCUGCAGAACGCCAUCACCCAGCCACAGCCCUCAUCAGGCCAUGGGGUCAUGGAACUGAGCUGGCUCCAGCAGAAGCAGCAGGACAACCUCCUCCACGGGACGCUAGUGCAGAGGCCACUGAUUCUGUCUGGUGUUCCACUGGCUGCUGCAGCCCAUGAGAGACUCCUUGUGUGCCUGCAAAAGGAGCUCAGGGAACACUACCCCAGCAGCAGGAUCAAGUCACUCCACUGAAGCAGGCACCAACAUUGCAAAGAAACGUCCAGGGCCACAACCAAGAAAGUCUGGGCUACUUAGCUGUGCCAGGGCACUGGCUUUGGUUUGCAGGUCUCCUCUCCUGGCACCACACACCUUUGCUGGGUCUCUCCAGGGGGUGAAGUAAUCCAGAAAUGGAGGUAAGAAUAUGAAAUGUUUCGGUGACUUAUUUGGAUGAGAGAUUAAUGUGUGUUGUGACCAGAACGGAUCCUUCUAACAAUUCAUCUGACCUACUGGAUCUCCCAGACACAACAUUUUUGCCCCUUAGAUGGUGCUUCAGAUCACUCCUUCCUCUUGACUUGUAGUAAAUUUCCUAGAGGGAUGUCUACAUUUGAUUAAAGGGUGUCUGUGGUGGAGAACCAACUGUCCUAUCCCAGUCCUACAAGACUUCUCACACGUUAAAAGUUGCGACUUUAACCCCAAAUUGCUUUGUGUCGAAUCCUGAACUCAUUGAGCCUUUUGUGUCUCUUGAAGAUUAAAGAAGCAGCUUCCCAUGGAAGUAGGUUUUGUUCCCAUCUAGUUUAAAACUUUUCUGGAGGAAGAAAUCAAAUAAAUUCUCAUAUCCUUUGUGCCCGCAAUAGCUGUGAUUGCAAACAGUGCAGUCCCUGUCCCGACAUAAAGCCACCUAGAAGCACUAUUGCUCUCUGACCUUCCAUCUCUACAAAAUCAGAACAAAACACUCCAGCUCCUUGUAAAUGGUCUCUCCUGCUCUUGGCCUGUUGCCUGCAUCACCCAAUGCUCUGACCAGACCCUAUCCUUGCCUGGUGCCCUUGGGUGGUUACAAGGGAGCUGGAAGUUGUGGGUUUCCUGGGGGAAGGAGCCUCAGCUCCUUUGCAUUAGUCUAUUGCUGGGGUUAUUCGCUGACAAAGGACUAACAAAUGGAGCUCAAGUCUUCCCAGACAAUCUCAUGUCACUACACCCAUGCUGCAAUUGGGGACAGUGUAGAGGUUUUUUGGGAACCAUGGAUUCAGGUCUGCAGCAGUACAGUGAUGGAAUUGUAGGUAUAAUGGGCCCAUUAUGGCACUUGUGCUGGAAUGAGGCACUCCUGAAACUCGUCAGUGCACACUGGUUGCGUUGGAAAGUGUAUUAGCAGCCUGAGUCCAUCCAGUCCUUUUCCCUCCCUCAUAAUCCUAUUCCUCAAGUGUUCGUUCACUUGCCUAU